GGGCCCGCACAAGCGGAGGAACAUGUGGUUUAAUUCGAUGAUACGCGAGGAACCUUACCUGGGCUUAAAUGGGGAGUGACUUAUGGUGAAAGCCGUAUUUCUUCGGACACUCUUCAAGGUGCUGCAUGGUUGUCGUCAGCUCGUGCCGUGAGGUGUCGGGUUAAGUCCCAUAACGAGCGCAACCCUUGCCGUCAGUUGCCAUCAGGUAAAGCUGGGGACUCUGGCGGGACUGCCACCGUAAGGUGAGAGGAAGGUGGGGAUGACGUCAAAUCAGCACGGCCCUUAUGUCCAGGGCUACACACGUGUUACAAUGGCCGGUACAGAGGGCAGCCACCUCGCGAGAGGGCGCUAAUCCCUAAAAGCCGGUCUCAGUUCGGAUCGGAGUCUGCAACCCGACUCCGUGAAGUUGGAUUCGCUAGUAAUCGCGCAUCAGCCAUGGCGCGGUGAAUACG
rnacentral:rRNA from 1 species